rnacentral:lncRNA from 1 species
GUUUAAAAAAAAUGAAGUCUGGCAUGUGUAACAAGAAAUGAGCACAUCUUCUAAAUGGGCUGGAUGCUGGAGUCCUGCAAGAACGCUGGCAUUACAGGCAUGCACCACCAUCUCCAGCUCCCUGAGUCUCCAUCCUAUGGUCUGCCCAGCUGAUUUCAGACUUGCUAGACAAUACUGCUCUCACUAUGCAGUGCAGACUGGCCUCAAACUCACCAUGUAGCCCGGGCUGGCCAUGUGCUUGUGGUCCUCCUGCCUCAGCCUCCCCAGUGCUGGGACUACGGGAAAACAAUACACAAAACAAGACACCAAAUAGUGAAGUGGACUGCCCAAUUUCACACAACUACUAAAUGAAUAAGCCAGGAGUCAUGCCCAGAUUGCAAAAAACUGUGUCCAGAAUGCCAUCAAAUGUGACAUAAAGCCUCAGACCAAAAUGAAGCAGUAGGUGUGCUCAGCCUUGAAUGCGUCUACCAGAGGAAAACCCACCCCAGAUGGCAUAUCCAAUUUAAUCAACAUCACCUCUGGUGCUGAUUUAGUAUGUGAAAUUUUACUAGCAGGAGUGCUAAUCAAGACAGAGAUUCUGUAAGGAUUUAGUCAUUUAUGUAGGGGAAACUAUGGGUAUCAUUAAAAAGUAGAAGAUCAUCUUAUAGAAAAACAUUAUCAUUAACAACCUCAUUUUUAAACUAAACAGACACAAUGGUACUGGAAGUAUCACUUUAGCAGCCGAAAAAGUCAGAAUGUUUUCAUGAUAAUGUUCUGAGAGGAUUGAACCCACAGUUUAAAGUUUUGGUAGAAGCACAUUAAAGUUCGGUAGUGUCAGAGUAAUGCAGAAGGAUGAACAACUUAAUUGUUAGUUGUUUAACUUUUCUGUGUAGUGGUUCAGCAAAACUGCUCUUUGGAAAGAUGAUUGUUUAAGGAACAAAAUUUGAUUAUAAUGGGAUAAAAGGUGAAUAGCAGAAGUUGGAGGAAAAGGAAGACUGUAAGAUUUGAUAUUUCCUUUUUAUAUUUGAAUAUAAAGUUUUGCAAUAUGAGGCUUCAUUUCAUAUAAUAGUCUCAUGGGCCAUUCAAGAAUUCAUAGAAAAAUUAAAUUUAAAAAAAUCUUCCUAAGUAGCAACAGAAUAAUUGUCGGUACAAUGAACAUGCUGUACAGGUGGCUUGGUAGAGUUGGAGACCUGAAUGGCAGCUACAAGACAUCUGCUGCCCGGGGAAACUUGCAAUGUGGCAAAGUGGAGUUUGUAGCUCCCGGUGGAAGGAUGCCAGCUGCCCACGGCUCUGCGUCUACAGAUGAACGGAGCGACUUGGGUGCCUGGGCGGAAGCGGUGCAUCUUUACAUCCUCCUGUCCCUGAGAACUGAAAGGACGAGAAGGACCUGCAGUAAAUGACCAGUGUGAUGCCACCGGCUGAGCUGUAGAUCAUCUGUUAUUGCCAAGGGUUGUGUCCAGCACAGUGAAAAUGAGCACGUGCCUGAAAUCAGACCAUUUUUAUUCUAUUUUCGUGCUUAAUUUAUAUGCGCCACUGCACGGUGUUUAUUUUUGUAGUAUCAUGAUUCACGUUUUAAAAGUCCCCAGAAGAAGUAUCUGAAGAAAAAUAAAAUUUGCUAAAAUACAAGCAACAAAAUAGUUUAUUAUGAAAUAAUUAGAGGUUAUAAGUAUUUUAGAAGGUUAACCGUCCUAAUUCUUUUAGAAUAUUUUGACCAAAAAAUGGCACCUUUAAAAGCAGAAUACCCAUUAUAAUUUUUAAACAGCCAUUGUGACUAAGUGAUCAGUUCAAACUUGGUUUUUGAGAACUGCCAUAGGCCAACCAUUAUGUUAAAAGCAGGAGGGACAAGAAUUGCAUAGUACAGCCCACAGCCUUUGUUCAUAAUCUAGAAUAUUUACAUAUUAGUAAAUCUUUUCAUUAUUUUCUUUACUGUUAUUUUAAUGACAUUUUUACUAUAAAACCUUUUUACCAUCUGAGCUAUUAGAUUGAAACAGGGAGAGUUGAAGACUUACAGACACACAGUGAAAAGGACAUUAAAUUUUCAAAUAAUAAAUACUAACUUUUCCUCUUUCCAAUUUUAUGCAAAAUUCCUUACAUCUAUAUUGCCUAAGAAAUGAAGUUUCAAGAAAGAAAACCAGAAAAAUCAGUUAAUUGAAUGUUUGGUUGCUUAAACAAAUUUGAAAGGAGAAAGCAUUACAAUUAUUUUUAAAGGCAAAAAUUAGAGAAAUUUAAAAAAUAUUUCUAGCCAUAUGUUUACUUACACACAAUUUAAAUUUGCAUGGACAUCUAAGCCUAAGUACCCUUUAAAAAUUCUUUUCGUGUGUGUUGAAAGAAAUAACUUCUGAAAUUUCACUUUUGAAUAUUGUUUGAGAAUUUUCUCAGCGAGGCGGUCGUUUAAGUGGAC